rnacentral:rRNA from 1 species
CCUACGGGCGGCAGCAGUCGAGAAUCAUUCACAAUGGGGGAAACCCUGAUGGUGCGACGCCGCGUGGGGGAAUGAAGGUCUUCGGAUUGUAAACCCCUGUCAUGUGGGAGCAAAUUAAAAAGAUAGUACCACAAGAGGAAGAGACGGCUAACUCUGUGCCAGCAGCCGCGGUAAUCCAGAGGUCUCAAGCGUUGUUCGGAAUCACUGGGCGUAAAGCGUGCGUAGGCUGUUUCGUAAGUCGUGUGUGAAAGGCGCGGGCUCAACCCGCGGACGGCACAUGAUACUGCGAGACUAGAGUAAUGGAGGGGGAACCGGAAUUCUCGGUGUAGCAGUGAAAUGCGUAGAUAUCGAGAGGAACACUCGUGGCGAAGGCGGGUUCCUGGACAUUAACUGACGCUGAGGCACGAAGGCCAGGGGAGCGAAAGGGAUUAGAUACCCCAGUAGUC